UACGAAGGGGGCUAGCGUUGCUCGGAAUUACUGGGCGUAAAGCGCGCGUAGGCGGGUCGUUAAGUCGGGGGUGAAAUCCUGGAGCUCAACUCCAGAACUGCCUUCGAUACUGGCGAUCUUGAGUCCGGGAGAGGUGAGUGGAACUCCGAGUGUAGAGGUGAAAUUCGUAGAUAUUCGCAAGAACACCAGUGGCGAAAGGCGGCUCACUGGCCCGGUACUGACGCUGAGGUGCGAAAGCGUGGGGGAGCGAACAGG
rnacentral:rRNA from 1 species